GGCGUGCUUAACACAUGCAAGUCGAACGAUGAACCUCCUUCGGGAGGGGAUUAGUGGCGAACGGGUGAGUAACACGUGGGCAAUCUGCCCUGCACUCUGGGACAAGCCCUGGAAACGGGGUCUAAUACCGGAUACGACCACUGAGGGCAUCCUCGGUGGUGGAAAGCUCCGGCGGUGCAGGAUGAGCCCGCGGCCUAUCAGCUUGUUGGUGGGGUGAUGGCCUACCAAGGCGACGACGGGUAGCCGGCCUGAGAGGGCGACCGGCCACACUGGGACUGAGACACGGCCCAGACUCCUACGGGAGGCAGCAGUGGGGAAUAUUGCACAAUGGGCGAAAGCCUGAUGCAGCGACGCCGCGUGAGGGAUGACGGCCUUCGGGUUGUAAACCUCUUUCAGCAGGGAAGAAGCGAAAGUGACGGUACCUGCAGAAGAAGCGCCGGCUAACUACGUGCCAGCAGCCGCGGUAAUACGUAGGGCGCGAGCGUUGUCCGGAAUUAUUGGGCGUAAAGAGCUCGUAGGCGGCUUGUCACGUCGGUUGUGAAAGCCCGGGGCUUAACCCCGGGUCUGCAGUCGAUACGGGCAGGCUAGAGUUCGGUAGGGGAGAUCGGAAUUCCUGGUGUAGCGGUGAAAUGCGCAGAUAUCAGGAGGAACACCGGUGGCGAAGGCGGAUCUCUGGGCCGAUACUGACGCUGAGGAGCGAAAGCGUGGGGAGCGAACAGGAUUAGAUACCCUGGUAGUCCACGCCGUAAACGUUGGGCA
rnacentral:rRNA from 1 species